GACGAACGCUGGCGGCGUGCUUAACACAUGCAAGUCGAACGGAAAGGCCCUGCUUUUGUGGGGUGCUCGAGUGGCGAACGGGUGAGUAACACGUGAGUAACCUGCCCUUGACUUUGGGAUAACUUCAGGAAACUGGGGCUAAUACCGGAUAGGAGCUCCUGCUGCAUGGUGGGGGUUGGAAAGUUUCGGCGGUUGGGGAUGGACUCGCGGCUUAUCAGCUUGUUGGUGGGGUAGUGGCUUACCAAGGCUUUGACGGAUAGCCGGCCUGAGAGGGUGACCGGCCACAUUGGGACUGAGAUACGGCGCAGACUCCUACGGGAGGCAGCAGUGGGGAAUAUUGCACAAUGGGCGGAAGCCUGAUACAGCAACGCCGCGUGCGGGAUUACGGCCUUCGGGUUGUAAACCGCUUUCGCCUGUGACGAAGCGUGAGUGACGGUAAUGGGUAAAGAAGCACCGGCUAACUACGUG
rnacentral:rRNA from 1 species